AUACGUAGGUGGCAAGCGUUGUCCGGAAUUAUUGGGCGUAAAGCGCGCGCAGGUGGUUCCUUAAGUCUGAUGUGAAAGCCCCCGGCUCAACCGGGGAGGGUCAUUGGAAACUGGGGAACUUGAGUGCAGAAGAGGAUAGUGGAAUUCCAAGUGUAGCGGUGAAAUGCGUAGAGAUUUGGAGGAACACCAGUGGCGAAGGCGACUGUCUGGUAUGUAACUGACACUGAGGCGCGAAAGCGUGGGGAGCAAACAGGAUUAGAUACCCGGGUAGUCCACGCCGUAAACGAUGAGUGCUAAGUGUUGGGGGGUUUCCGCCCCUCAGUGCUGCAGCUAACGCAUUAAGCACUCCGCCUGGGGAGUACGGUCGCAAGACUGAAACUCAAAUGAAUUGACGGGG
rnacentral:rRNA from 1 species